rnacentral:rRNA from 1 species
CCCCUUUUAUUUUAAAUGUAAAUGGGGCCUGGGUAGGAUUAAGCUAGUUCUUGAACCCCAAAGANUUNGGCGGGUAUUUUAUUCUUUUUAGAGGNACCCUGUCCUGUAAUUGAUAGUCCCCGAUGGGUAAUUACCUACCUUUUGUGGUCCAUUUUGUAAACCUCCCGUCAUCAGAGUAUCUUCUCAGAGUAAAUAUUCUAUAAUUAUUAAAUAUAAUAUGUCAGGUCAAGGGCAAUUUAUGGGUAAGUAGAGAUGGGUUACAUUAAGUUUAUUUAUACGGAUUAUUGUUGUUAUCUAUAGAUGAAGGUGGAUUUAAAAGUAAAGCUAUUGAUCCUUCAAUUCUUGAUUUUAGCUCUAAAAUAUGCACACAUCGCCCGUCGCUCUUAUUUUAAAAUAAGAUAAGUCGUAACAUAGUAGGUGACCGGAAGGUGUUCCUAGAAAG